UUGGCUGUUUCCUCUCCUCUCGUUGGCUGUUUCCUCUCCUCUUGUUGGCUGUUUCCUCUCCUCUUGUUGGCUGUUUCUGAGAAGUAAAGCGUGGAAAUCUUGUGGAGUCAACACGUUGGAAGAAUCGCUCAUCUGUGGGACGAGACCCUUCUGACUUCAGGACGUCCGUCUGAAUUAGUUCCCCCUGAAGAACAAGAAUGAGUUCUCCACAAAAGCUCAUCUGUGGGACGAGACCCUUCUGACUUCAGGACGUCCGUCUUGAAUUAGUUCCCCCUGAAGAACAAGAAUGAGUUCUCCACAAAAGAAACGGAGAGGAAAAGGAGUCAAACGUCACCACUGUCAGCACUGUGACAAAUCCUUCACAACAUCAGGACAUUUAAAGAUUCAUCAGAGAGUUCACACUGGAGACAAACCAUACAGCUGUGAUCAAUGUGGGGCAGCUUUCACACAGCAGAGUACCCUAAAAAGACAUCAACACAUUCACACUGGAGAGAAGCCAUACUGGUGUGAACAUUGCGGGGAAACUUUUCAG